UGUAUCUCUCCAUCACACACAAUUUGCACCACAUACACACUCUACGAUACACACACAAGCCGCGCUUCCGCCGACCGUGUGCAGGCUCCUCCUCGUCUCUCUCUGUCUCAACCCCUCUCCCGCUGCACGAGCACACAUAGGCUAGCCUCUCUCUCUGCGUUACGGCUGUCCGGCCAAUUCGGCCGCCGCGAUCAACGGAUUCCAAGGAUUAAUAGGCUAAUCUACCUCCCAUUUGUAUUAGACCAUAAUGCCUCACAAAACUCGACCUCUGACGGCACUCUUGGUCUUCACCGGGGUGAAUGCUCUCUUGCUUCCAACGCUUGGACCAGUUUAUGAUUUCGUCUGCUUCCUUCCAUAUUGGGAAAGAAGGAGAGAACGUCGACGCCAAGAACGUGAAGCUGGCUCUGCUGGAACUGUUGGAUCAUCUUAGUCAAUAAGUUAGAACAGCUUUAGAGGCGAGGGUUAUCAGCACAUGGGUUUUAGAACAUGAAUUUUCAUGCAGUUAGGCUCACGUUUCACUCAGGGUGACAGUCACAGGGUCUUCAUGUAGAUUCACUUGAAGCUGAUAAAUAAUUCUGUUGUGAUGUUUCUGUGACUUGUGUUUAACUAGUGCUGUUGGAUUCUAAUAUGGCUGGCUGGAUACAUUUUGCAUCUCUCUCUCUAAUUAAAGUGCUUUGUGCGAUGACUUAUGAUAUGGAGUGUACCUGUCAUAGUUAGCCUACUAAUGUGGUUGUGAAAGUGUCACACAUGCGUUAGGAAGGAUGAAUUAGGUGGUUCACGUAGUAACAUGUAGAAUUUAGAAAGAAACUAAGUUAGCUCCAAAUCGCAUGACCAAUUUAUUCUACUUGUUGAAGUUCCGAAAAAGAUGUCAAUCAGGAUGCAUCAUUCAAACAAGCUUAUGCUGAUAACAACUUGGCCUUGUGAGUAUUCUUGUCUUCAUCUGUCAUCGCCUCUCUGUGGAGUAUGUAUCAUCAUAGGUCCCAAUAAAAAUGAGCGGAGUUCUUAGGAUCAGAAAUGGCAUUUCCACUGAGUAGAAAUUGUGGGUUGUGGGUUGCACUAUGUAGAAUGAGGUGAAAGUAUAUAUGCCGGAAUUUUUGUGAAGCAUACUGGUUUGAACUCUCUGCUACAAGAUAUUACAUCUCUAGUAAUAAUUAUGUUUGUUGGUACAUACUUCUGUUAUACUUAAAAAUACUUUUGUUAUUGUUAGUAUAUUUUCUGGAUUUAAUAAUGAAAUGUACUUGCAUUUUUUGUA